rnacentral:rRNA from 1 species
GACGAACGCUGGCGGCGUGCCUAAUACAUGCAAGUUGAGCGCUGAAGGUUGGUACUUGUACCAACUGGAUGAGCAGCGAACGGGUGAGUAACGCGUGGGGAAUCUGCCUUUGAGCGGGGGACAACAUUUGUAAACGAAUGCUAAUACCGCAUAAAAACUUUAAACACAAGUUUUAAGUUUGAAAGAUGCAAUUGCAUCACUCAAAGAUGAUCCCGCGUUGUAUUAGCUAGUUGGUGAGGUAAAGGCUCACCAAGGCGAUGAUACAUAGCCGACCUGAGAGGGUGAUCGGCCACAUUGGGACUGAGACACGGCCCAAACUCCUACGGGAGGCAGCAGUAGGGAAUCUUCGGCAAUGGACGAAAGUCUGACCGAGCAACGCCGCGUGAGUGAAGAAGGUUUUCGGAUCGUAAAACUCUGUUGGUAGAGAAGAACGUUGGUGAGAGUGGAAAGCUCAUCAAGUGACGGUAACUACCCAGAAAGGGACGGCUAACUACGUG